CCAGUCUACUAAUUAUCUGUAAUUAUGAUCAGGCCCCAGUCUACUAAUUAUGAUCAGGCCCCAGUCUACUAAUUAUCUGUAAUUAUGAUCAGGCCCCAGUCUACUAAUUAUAAUCAGGCCCCAGUCUACUAAUUAUCUGUAAUUAUGAUCAAGCCACAGUCUACUAGUUAUCUGUAAUUAUGAUCAGGCCCCAGUCUACUAAUUAUAAUCAGGCCCCAGUCUACUAAUUAUCUGUAAUUAUGAUCAGGCCCCAGUCUACUAAUUAUCUGUAAUUAUGAUCAGGCCCCAGUCUUCUAAUUAUAAUCAGGCCCCAGUCUACUAAUUAUCUGUAAUUAUGAUCAAGCCCCAGUCUACUAAUUAUCUGUAAAUAUGAUCAAGCCCCAGUCUACUAAUUAUGAUCAGGCCCCAGUCUACUAAUUAUCUGUAAUUAUGAUCAGGCCCCAGUCUACUAAUUAUCUGUAAUUAUGAUCAAGCCCCAUUCUACUAAUUAUCUGUAAUUAUGAUCAGGCCCCAGUCUACUAAUUAUCUGUAAUUAUGAUCAGGCCCCAGUCUACUAAUUAUCUGUAAUUAUGAUCAGGCCCCAAUCUACUAAUUAUCUGUAAUUAUGAUCAGGCCCCAAUCUACUAAUUAUCUGUAAUUAUGAUCAGGCCCCAGUCUACUAAUUAUCUGGCCCCAGUCUACUAAUUAUCUGGCCCCCUGACCAUCCGCUCAAGAAUUGUUUUUGUCCGCGGCCGAAUCUCGUUGAUGUUCUCUGACAUAGGGAACGGGGAACCCUUAGGAACCCGUACCAGUUCACCGAACGGUGCUACAAUCUGUUGCUCUUCACAUUAUCGCUGCCUUAAACUCUCCAGCCUUUCGCUUCCAGCUAACAAGCUUCAGGAAUAUUAUAACAUAUUGUCACCAUGUACAGCACUUAGUCUGUAGUCUGUUCUGUUGUUGUGACUGUCUGUUCUGUUAUUGUGACUGAGUCUGUCUGUUCUGUUGUUGUGACUGAGUCUGUAGUCUGUUCUGUUGUUGAGUCUGUCUGUUCUGUUGUUGUGACUGAGUCUGUCUGUUCUGUUGUUGUGACUGAGUCUGUCUGUUCUGUUAUUGUGUCUGUUCUGUUGUUGUGACUGAGUCUGUCUGUUCUGUUGUUGAGUCUGUCUGUUCUGUUGUUGUGACUGAGUCUGUCUGUUCUGUUGUUGAGUCUGUCUGUUCUGUUGUUGUGACUGAGUCUGUCUGUUCUGUUAUUGUGACUGAGUCUGUCUGUUCUGUUGUUGUGACUGAGUCUGUCUGUUCUGUUGUUGUGACUGUCUGUUCUGUUGUUGUGACUGAGUCUGUCUGUUCUGUUGUUGUGACUGAGUCUGUCUGUUCUGUUGUUGUGACUGAGUCUGUCUGUUCUGUUAUUGUGACUGAGUCUGUCUGUUCUGUUGUUGUGACUGAGUCUGUCUGUUCUGUUGUUGUGACUGAGUCUGUCUGUUCUGUUGUUGUGACUGUCUGUUCUGUUGUUGUGACUGAGUCUGUCUGUUCUGUUGUUGUGACUGUCUGUUCUGUUGUUGUGACUGAGUCUGUCUGUUCUGUUGUUGUGACUGAGUCUGUCUGUUCUGUUGUUGUGACUGAGUCUGUCUGUUCUGUUAUUGUCUGUCCUUUAUUUGAUUUCAUUUAUAUUUGUAAUUUUGUUUUGUUGCACAAAACUAUCCACAUAGCACUUCUUCUUUGCAUCCCAAAAAAAAGCACAAUAAUUCCCUUUUAUAGUGCACUACUGUUGACCAGGCCCCAUAAGGCUUCAGUUAAAGUAGUGCACUACUGUUGUCCAGGCUCCAUAAGGCUUCAGUUAAAGUAGUGCACUACUGUUGUCCAGGCUCCAUAAGGCUUCAGUUAAAGUAGUGCACUACUGUUGUCCAGGCCCCAUAAGGCUUCAGUUAAAGUAGUGCACUACUGUUGACCAGGCCCCAUAAGGCUUCAGUUAAAGUAGUGCACUACUGUUGACCAGGCUCCAUAAGGCUUCAGUUAAAGUAGUGUACUACUGUUGUCCAGGCUCCAUAAGGCUUCAGUUAAAGUAGUGUACUACUGUUGACCAGGCCCCAUAAGGCUUCAGUUAAAGUAGUGCACUACUGUUGACCAGGCCCCAUAAGGCUUCAGUUAAAGUAGUGCACUACUGUUGACCAGGCCCCAUAAGGCUUCAGUUAAAGUAGUGCACUACUGUUGUCCAGGCUCCAUAAGGCUUCAGUUAAAGUAGUGUACUACUGUUGACCAGGCUCCAUAAGGCUUCAGUUAAAGUAGUGCACUACUGUUGUCCAGGCUCCAUAAGGCUUCAGUUAAAGUAGUGCACUACUGUUGACCAGGCUCCAUAAGGCUUCAGUUAAAGUAGUGCACUACUGUUGACCAGGCCCCAUAAGGCUUCAGUUAAAGUAGUGCACUACUGUUGACCAGGCUCCAUAAGGCUUCAGUUAAAGUAGUGCACUAUAUUUACACGACAGGGGUUCUCAAACUUUCAUCAGGGACCCCCCUCAUAAUCAGAACUGGAGUGUGAUCAAAAACAAAAAAACAUAAUUAUACUCGGACAAGGGCAGUGCAUGGCGUCCCUCCACAUGGAGCCUCCGACCACAUUUUCAGAUCCAGCAUAAAUUGACGCUUAAGAACAUGCAUUGAAUUACAAUCUCAAAAGUUAUUCCACGGAUCCCUUGGACAAAAUGUGUUUAAUCUGUUGUAAGUAAUAUUCAUUCCACAAAAAAAACAUGUAUAUUUGAGAACCCCUUGUCUGACUGCUGACCCCCUGCAGUACAGACCCCACUCUGAGAACCCCUGCAGUACAGACCCCACUCUGAGAACCCCUGCAGUACAGACCCCACUCUGAGAACCCCUGCAGUACAGACCCCACUCUGAGAACCCCUGCAGUACAGACCCCACUCUGAGAACCCCUGCAGUACAGACCCCACUCUGAGAACCCCUGCAGUACAGACCCCACUCUGAGAACCCCUGCAGUACAGACCCCACUCUGAGAACCCCUGAUAUAGGGGAUAGGGUGCUAUUUGGUGAUGUAUCCCUUAUAUCUUGUAAAGGUUGUGGGUAAUAUCACUCUGAGCAAUGCUUCUACUGAACUGUGGGUGAGUUUCUCCAGAAAACAAAGAUUAUCUUUAGCCUUCAGAUCAUUGUCUAUCCAUUGGACUUGAGAUGAUAGUUUAUGUUUUUAGGAAACGUACCCCUGAACUUUCCCAGACACAAAUUAAGAUUAGUAGUCCUGGACAAAACAAUAUUUUUGAUAUAGAUUUUCCUUUGAGCUCUUUAACCCACGGCUGAGACAGGGAUUCAAUCCGGUCACAGGUUACAGGCAUGGCAGUUUUUAAAGGCAAUGUUCCCACGUCCGCAGAGAACCCAUUCACAGUAUGGCAGCUCAAUCGGAAAUUACCUUUAAAAAAAAACGCAACGCUUAUAACCCGCGAUCGGAUUUAAUCCGGUCUAAAUCGUGUGCCCAGGAAACCACCAUGUUUCAGUUACCUCGCCAUAUUGUAACAGACUGACUGUGUUUCAUGUGUUUAAUUAGUUUCAUGUUUUUGACGUGGACGUUAUGGAACUCAUAGGAAAUGCAGGAAAUGUGUCCAUAGGGGUGCUUUAAUGAUGCAUAUUUUGCAAACAUUUGCUCAUAUGAACUUAAAAGCCAUUGAAUAUGCAUUACUCAGUAUAUCUUGAUUAUACAUGCAAUAGAGGCCACCAUGUUUGGGCAGAAAGCAUUAUUUUGAUAUGUAAUACAGUACUUGCAAUUUACAUGUAUGCAACUGUAGCCUUGGAUACCAGGCGUAGUCAACGAGACCAGAUUUGGAAGGAUGGCUCCGCGAGACUAAUGUACCGGUCUACUAAAACAAAACUCACUGGAUUUGAUCCUCUGAGGUGACCGACUGCCUGUUACCCACUGAGGUGACUGACUGGAUGUUACCCACUGAGGUGACUGCCUGGAUGUUACCCACUGAGGUGACUGCCUGGAUGUUACCCACUGAGGUGACUGACCGACAGCCUGUUACCCACUGAGGUGACCGACUGCCUGUUACCCACUGAGGUGACUGCCUGGAUGUUACCCACUGAGGUGACUGCCUGGAUGUUACCCACUGAGGUGACUGACCGACAGCCUGUUACCCACUGAGGUGACCGACUGCCUGUUACCCACUGAGGUGACUGACCGACAGCCUGUUACCCACUGAGGUGACCGACUGCCUGUUACCCACUGAGGUGACCGACUGCCUGUUACCCACUGAGGUGACCGACAGCCUGUUACCCACUGAGGUGACCGACUGCCUGUUACCCACUGAGGUGACUGACUGGAUGUUACCCACUGAGGUGACCGACUGCCUGUUACCCACUGAGGUGACCGACAGCCUGUUACCCACUGAGGUGACCGACUGCCUGUUACCCACUGAGGUGACUGACUGGAUGUUACCCACUGAGGUGACCGACUGCCUGUUACCCACUGAGGUGACUGACUGGAUGUUACCCACUGAGGUGACCGACUGCCUGUUACCCACUGAGGUGACUGACUGGAUGUUACCCACUGAGGUGACCGCCUGCCUGUUACCCACUGAGGUGACUGACUGGAUGUUACCCACUGAGGUGACCGACUGCCUGUUACCCACUGAGGUGACCGACUGGAUGUUACCCACUGAGGUGACUGCCUGGAUGUUACCCACUGAGGUGACUGACUGCCUGCCUGUUACCCACUGAGGUGACUGCCUGCCUGCCUGUUACCCACUGAGGUGACUGCCUGCCUGCCUGUUACCCACUGAGGUGACUGCCUGCCUGUUACCCACUGAGGUGACUGACUGCCUGUUACCCACUGAGGUGACCGACUGCCUGUUACCCACUGAGGUGACUGACUGCCUGCCUGUUACCCACUGAGGUGACUGCCUGCCUGCCUGUUACCCACUGAGGUGACCGACUGCCUGUUACCCACUGAGGUGACCGACUGCCUGUUACCCACUGAGGUGACCGACUGCCUGUUACCCACUGAGGUGACCGACUGCCUGUUACCCACUGAGGUGACUGACUGCCUGCCUGUUACCCACUGAGGUGACUGCCUGCCUGCCUGUUACCCACUGAGGUGACCGACUGCCUGUUACCCACUGAGGUGACUGCCUGCCUGCCUGUUACCCACUGAGGUGACCGACUGCCUGUUACCCACUGAGGUGACCGACUGCCUGUUACCCACUGAGGUGACUGACUGCCUGUUACCCACUGAGGUGACUGACUGGAUGUUACCCAGAGGUGACCGACUGCCUGUUACCCAGAGGUGACUGACUGCCUGUUACCCACUGAGGUGACCGACCGACUGCCUUCAGGAUGUUUAUACCCCAACAAGAUGCCUUAUGACCUUGUCAUCGCAACAAGAACUGUCUGUAUAUCUGUAUGCACUUAGUCUUCCUCUGUCCCAGUACUAUCAUGUAGCAUUUGUAUAGGUAUGUAUGCCUUUUGUAUGAAUAAAUAUUUGUAAUAUUUAA